GACGAACGCUGGCGGCGUGCCUAACACAUGCAAGUCGAACGGAAAGGCCCUGCUUUUGUGGGGUGCUCGAGUGGCGAACGGGUGAGUAACACGUGAGUAACCUGCCCUUGACUUUGGGAUAACUUCAGGAAACUGGGGCUAAUACCGGAUAGGAGCUCCUGAUGCACGGUGGGGGUUGGAAAGUUUCGGCGGUUGGGGAUGGACUCGCGGCUUAUCGGCUUGUUGGUGGGGUAGUGGCUUACCAAGGCUUUGACGGGUAGCCGGCCUGAGAGGGUGACCGGCCACAUUGGGACUGAGAUACGGCCCAGACUCCUACGGGAGGCAGCAGUGGGGAAUAUUGCACAAUGGGCGGAAGCCUGAUGCAGCAACGCCGCGUGCGGGAUGACGGCCUUCGGGUUGUAAACCGCUUUCGCCUGUGACGAAGCGUGAGUGACGGUAAUGGGUAAAGAAGCACCGGCUAACUACGUG
rnacentral:rRNA from 1 species